GACGAAUUGUUGAAUGGCAGACGGUUUUGGGAUAUAUUUUUUUUUUGAGAUUUUUGAUGUUUUGGAAUGUGUGGUCUCGUCUAAUUCAAGCACAAGCAUUUUCUUGUCGCUGACUGAGUCUGUAUAUCGGAUAAGCUGCAUUGGCUUGCAAUUUCUGUGAACAAGACAUUGCAAUUCAUCCAGUGAUGGAAGAGAAUUAUGAGAAUCACGUAGAGGGAGGCAAUGAAUGGGGCUAUGGCUAUUCUGACCAGUAUGGGCCCACACAGAUCUCACAAUGGCAAGGUUUCAGCGGUGGAUUCGGGGGCUCUUGGCAAGGAUGGCAGCGGUUCCCUCGGCCGGGGCCGGGUUGGUACGGACCGCGCGGUCCCGGCUGGGCACCUCCGGCCAGCGGAGUGAACGGCUGGCCCGGACCGCGCGGACCGCGUGGUGGAGGAC